ACCCCGAGGAGGAGGUGUCCAUGCGGAAGUCGUGCCGGGCCCCGAACUGCUCCCACGGGGCUCCGAGCGCCGCCUCAGCUUCUGCAAGUGGGUGUCCGGGGGGAAGAAUGGGGCCUGAGGUGGGGCUCCGUGUUGGCCCCGUGGGGCCUCUGUGGCACUCAGUGCCUCUGUUCGGCAGUGGGAAGUUCCCUGUGCACCUCCUCUCCCAAGGGUGCCUCACUGCCCCUCCCCAGUCCCGCAUUCUGUCCCCUAGGGUCCCCUCCAUUCCGAGCACUAGAAUGCCCUAUCCCCCCCGGAUCCCCCAGUCUGAUCCUUAGAGUUGCCCCUCCCCCCUCCAAGUCCUCCAUCCUGAUCACUAAAGUUCUCUGCCCCUCCCUCUGUCCCCCCUGCGCCCCCCCUACGAGUCCUCCAUUCUAACUCCUAGAGUUUGCUGUCCCCCUCCCCCCACUCUCCCAUUCUGACCCCUAGGGUGUCCCCUACCAUCCAUGGUCCCCUGUCCCCUUCCUCCUCCACCGCCCCUCCUCCCCCCCCUCCCCCCCUAUGCCUGAGAUAAUGAAAUGGACUACUAUGGAAAAAGGCAUCAUUAUUUGAGAGAAUUCCUGAUGAUCCAAACCAAGAGCAAAAUCCUGAGAGAGUCAGGUGUACCCCAGAUAUGUGGCAGAAAUUCACAAGAACUAUGCCAGAUGAGGACACCAGUCCAUUAACAGCAAUGUACAGCAGAGGGCAAAGACUCCUUUUGAAUGCACUGAUUACUAGGCUUCAUGUCUUUGAACUACAUUUAACCCCCUUACAAGCUUGUGUUUCAGCCAUUUUGAAAGUAAGACUGGAUAGAAUAAACAGAAAUCAAGAAGAUAUGAUGGAGGAACUGCCUACUGUACUUCAUCAUGAUGGACCCCAUGAUACCAUACCCCUGUGGUGGUAUCAGAGACAGCUGAUGAGAUGGAUUAUCAAAACAGCCUACUGGAGGGGCUGGUCAAAUUGGCUUCCUCCCGACCUACAUCAUCCAGUAUCUCAGCUAUUAAAAGAAUACAUCCUCCUGCUCGAGCAAGUGACAACAGUGAGACUACGCUGCAUAUUGCCUUGUGGAAGUACCUGUGUGAGCAUGGAGAAGAUAUGAAGAAGUGGCAUAAAAAACCCACUCCUGCACUAUGAGCACAGGACAAAGGAGCAAAAUAUGCCUAUAAGGAUGCCUUUCUGAGAAUACAAGAGCUAUCCAUCACAUAGCAUAAGAAAUCAAGCAGAGGAGAAAGGAAACCUGCAUGGCUGAGCAAGGACAUCCUGGUCAAUCUGAAAUGCAAGAAGCAAAAAAACCAACAGGCUCCUGGAAGAUAUAUUAAGACACAUGCAAGACAUGGAGGUGAUCCCAGACAACCAGCAUGGCUUUACCAAGGGCAGUUGUGCCUGAUCAAUCUGGUGGCCUUCUAAGGUAGGGUGAUGGCACUGGUGGAGACAGGGCAACUGAUGUCAUCUACCUGGACUUGAACAAGGCCUUUGACAUGCUCCCACAUCAUAUUAUCUCUACACUGGAAAGAUAUGGUUUUGAAGAGAAGAGUAUUCAAUGGACAAGGAUUUGGUGGGAAGGCUGCAGCCAGACAGUUGCACUCUGCAAUCUCUAUACUGUGGAGAUAUGAUGGAUGUGUUCUAUCUGGCUUUGCACUGCCUUCUACUUCCAGCACCUGCUCAGUCUUGGGAUGAUGCAUUUAGGAAGAAUAAGCUAAGCUUUACAUCGGUUUAUUGGAGCCAACCAACACUUGGUGUCUGACAGCUGCUCUGAGCUCCUGAUCAAAGCAUUCAAGAAAAGAAGUACAGCCAAUGUGAAGCAUGUUUAUGAAGGGUGAUGGGAUUGUGUGUCAAACAUGCCUUCCCCCGGAUGAAGAAAGGGCUGGAGUUAGCACGAAAAACAAACCAUCCUUUAUCAUUUCCCUGUCCUCCAUUCACCCAUUAUCUUUGAUUUUAAGAAAAUAGGGCGAGACCGCAGUGAAAACAAAAGCUCAGGGACAACUCAACUACUUUAUUCUCCCCCUCCCCGUUACCCUGCAUGCGAUUUUCAGUAAAUCUCCAAGAGUGGCA